GUCAUUUCCUGCUAGUGAUCAAGUCAUGCCACAUAGAAGAGAUGUCAGCAACAGCUGUUGCCUCCCACUUCACCUGAAUGAAGACAAUGCCCGUUUUGGCUUGUUGGCGGCCCUCAUCCUCCUCUACCUGCUGUGUGGGGCGGUGGUGUUCUCUGCACUCGAGCAUCCCUCUGAGCUGCAGGCUCACCGCCGCUGGGACCAACAGCUGGCCAACUUCACCGAGCAAAACAGUAUAAACCUAAAAUCCCUACAUGUCCUGCUAAAGCAAUAUGAGGAGGCCUUUGCGGCUGGGAUCCGUGUGGACAAACUUAGGCCCCGCUGGGAUUUCUCAGGGGCCUUCUACUUUGUCGCUACAGUGGUCUCCACAAUUGGCUUUGGCAUGACCACUCCUGUCACCGUUGCAGGUAAGAUCUUUUUGAUAUUCUACGGACUCCUUGGCUGCGCAGCAACAAUCCUCUUCUUCAACCUUUUCCUGGAGCGCAUCAUCACGAUGUUGGCCUACAUCAUGCGCUGGUGUCACGAGCGCCAACUGCGCCGCUCCGGCAUGGGAGGAGAGGAGGCCAGGAGCGAGGACGACAGUCUGGAGGGCUGGAAACCAUCGGUCUACUAUGUAAUGCUCAUUCUGGGCAUCGCCGCCCUGCUGAUCGCAUGCAGUGCGUCUGCGCUGUACUCUGCCAUGGAGGACUGGGACUACUUUGAGUCCUUGUACUUCUGCUUUGUGGCCUUCAGCACCAUUGGCUUCGGGGAUGUGGUUAGCAGCCAACGGGAGAGCUAUAAAGCUCAAGAAGCCUACCGUCUCGGCAACUGCCUCUUCAUCCUCAUGGGUGUGUGUUGCAUUUAUUCCCUGUUCAAUGUAAUUUCCAUCAUUAUCAAGCAGACGCUCAACUGGAUCCUCGGCAAACUGGACUGCAGCAAGGCUCAGUGUUCGUGCCGUGGCUGUCCAUACAGAAGACGAGGUCAGGCCUGUUGUUGCUGUUGCUUUCCACGAAUUCCCAACCAGCGGCACAACCACCACCCUCCGCCGGGACAUUCCCGGCAGAGGGCUCAAAAGCGCAACGCCGUGCACCCUGCCCCGGCUAACGAAGCUACAGGAAAGCGCUUCACUAAUGCAUCAGUGGAAACAGUUUGUGAUAGUGAGACUGAUGCUGGCUUAGGACCAGAUGGAGGUUAUCUGACAGGGCGCAGACUGUCUGGAGAAAUGAUCUCAGUCAAUGACUUUAUGGCCAACAAGGUUUCUCUGGCCAUUCUACAGAAGCAACUCUCAGAGACCGCUCACGGUAAUCCAAGACAGAGCCACGUUCGCCAGAACGGCUUCUCCGGUGGUGUGGGCGCCUUUGCUAUCAUGAAUAACCGCCUUCAGGAGACAAGUGUCGACAGAGUCACUUUGAUGCUGAAGUGAUUGGCCGGUGUGGUGAGCAAUCACACUGUGCCUCUGGAGAGAUCCUUUAACGGCUCUUCAUGAAAACAGACUGAUUUUCAAGAGUCAGGCAGAUGUAGCCAUGGCACUUACAGAGAGACAGUCCCGGAGGAAGACAUACAAGUGUCAAAUCAAAGGGAGAUGAUGGUGUUACAUGAGGAGCGAGUCUCUACUGUUCUCAUGAGGAUGACAGUGGUACUGCUUACCGAUGGUGUUGAAAUAUGAGCUCAAACACACUCACAAAAUGUAUGACUAUAAUUACCUAUAGGCCAUAAAGUCUCUUUAUGUAGCAGGACAGACAUUAAUAAACUGAAAUCUCAUGAAUAGCUUGAUCUGUUUAUUUUUAUUACUCAACCUUUAACCUUUAUGUUAGCACAAAUAUUGCACAAGAUCUGUCAAAUGUGCACAAAGAUGAUUACACAACAUGAUAUAGCACUGCAUCAGUUAAUUUGCUAGUCAUUAGGAAAUAUCUCGGUAUUAUUACACGCUUAUAAAUUGGCAUAAUUUCAAAGAGGUCAGUAAGGCAACACAGCACAGAUCAUGCAAACAGAGUAGAGCGUAUUACAGGAAACAACUAUUCAAGAACAGGAAAAGUUGCACUCUGUGACCAUAUUAUGAGCCUGUAUAAACCAACAUGUAAAAGUGCUUGUAUUUAAUAGAAUUUGCACUUUAGAGAUUUUAGCAUUUCAAAUUUGACCUUAAUUCUUAAAGGAAGAGUUGACACAAAAAUAAAAAUCCUGUCAUUAGUUACUUAACAUCAUUUUUUCCAAACCUGUAUGCU